rnacentral:rRNA from 1 species
UACAGAGGUCUCAAGCGUUGUUCGGAUUCAUUGGGCGUAAAGGGUGCGUAGGCGGCGCGGUAAGUCGGGUGUGAAAUCUCGGAGCUUAACUCCGAAACUGCAUUCGAUACUGCCGUGCUUGAGGACUGGAGAGGUGAGUGGAAUUCCGGAGUGAUAGAGGUGAAAUUCGUAGAUAUUCGGAAGAACACCAGUGGCGAAGGCGGCUCACUGGCCCGGUUCGACGCUGG